rnacentral:rRNA from 1 species
AUUGAACGCUGGCGGCAGGCCUAACACAUGCAAGUCGAACGAGUGGCGGACGGGUGAGUAAUGUCUGGGAAACUGCCUGAUGGAGGGGGAUAACUACUGGAAACGGUAGCUAAUACCGCAUACCAUCAGAUGUGCCCCGAUGGGCUUAGCUAGUGGGUGGGGUAACGGCUCACCAAGGCGACGAUCCCUAGCUGGUCUGAGAGGAUGACCAGCCACACUGGAACGGAGACAAGGUCCAGACUCCUACGGGAGGCAGCAGUGGGGAAUAUUGCACAAUGGGCGCAAGCCUGAUGCAGCCAUGCCGCGUGUAGGAAGAAGGCCUUCGGGUUGUAAAGUACUUUCAGCGGGGAGGCGGUACCCGAAGAAGAAGCACCGGCUAACUCCGUGCCAGCAGCCGCGGUAAUUC